rnacentral:ncRNA from 1 species
AAGGUACCGUUAUGGUUUAAAAGGGAAUUCGGUGAAAUACCGAAGCUGUCCCCGCAACUGUAAGUGUGGACGACUGUUGAAUAUGCCACUGCGAUUUUUCGUGGGAAGGCCAGCAGAAGGAAGAAACACGAGCCAGUAGACCUGCCUGUUUA